UUUUGAAGGGUUUACUUUAUGGGUGCUGAGAAACUUCAAAGACGGUACUUUUUAUGAUUUUCUCAGACGGAGAAAGGCGUUGUAGACUUACUGUAUGGAUGAUGAUGACGAUGAACAGAGAUGAAUGAAAAUAAUUAAAGGAAGCCAAAUAUACGUAUAAAAAACUUCAAUGGAGCUGACAGAGAGCAGAGAAAGACAACGAAGAAACCAGCGGCUAGAAGAUGGUAAUCAGUAAAAAUAAAGAAGCAAGGUCUCACUUGGCUUGUUACUGUAUGUACAAAAUUCUGAGAUACGUCCACUUUGAUAUUAAUGCAGCCUAUACACUGCCAAAUGCUUAGACAAGAAGAGGCACAAGGGAGUGGAGGCUCUCUGCUACCCCAUUAUGAUCUAUCUAAUUCUACCUCUUCACAUUCAUUAGGGUCUUUCCUGCAGAAAGAAGACAAGUACUUUUAGGGGGGCUGUACUGUUUCAAUCUUUAUGGCCAUAAGGUGGGGAAUUGAUGAGGGUGGUUUGGUCAUUUGACAGGCAAAAAAGCCAAGUGAAUAGUCAUUUUGGGGCCAUGGAAAGAUAUGAAGUCUAGAUUCUGGUGUAAGCUGCUUGGGGAUCAUUGUCAUUUCAUUUUGGCUGAAUAUAAGUGGUUAUAAAUCAUAAUAUAUUGUCUUUCGACUAUUCUAUUCA